UGUGUGUGUGUGUGUGUGUGUGUCUGUUAAACACUGGGGUCAUAAAACUUAAGAUUAAAAGAAAAACUGCAGAACAUAAAACAAAACCCACCUGCAGCUCAGGGCUGGCCUGCAGGCUGCCUGUGACCGGUGCAAUUUCCCGCCUGUGCUGCCCAUGACCACGAUGAAGAAAGAAGGGACUUCUUUUCCUACACAGAAACACCCCAAGCAGGAACAGAAACAGAUCUUUUGUGCCCACCAAUAUGUGUCUCUCUUGCCCAGCCUGUCAUUGUCCAGGGCUGUGGGUAGUGGAGGAGCCACUGCUUCUUGCCUGGUUCUGCAGAAGCCCUGGGUCAAAGGCCUCCACUGAGAGCAUCCAGAAGUGGGUGCUUCUCCAUCCUGGCCACACACUCAAAUCGCUGGCGGAAAGCGCAUGGGAGAACACAGUGAGAAGACAGCAGUCUGAGAGCCCGGAAGAGCGCCCUCACCAGAAACCAAAUGUACCAGCACCUUGCUCACGGACUUCCAGCCUAUGGAACUGUGAGGAAACAAAAUGUCUGUUUUGGAGCCACCCAGGCUGUGGGGUUUUGGUAAGGCAGGCUGAGCAGAGUAAUGCAACAGCCUCAACAAAACUGCAAUCGAUGAGAAAAAAACAGUGGGCUUGAAGAAAAAAAUAAAUUCCAGUCAAAAUCUCAA